UUUUCAAAUUCAAAGAUACAACUAAGUUAAUGGGGAAAGCUUUAGGGAAAGAAAAAGAAGCUGAAGAUUUACUUAAAAAGUACGAUGAUAAAGUAGCUGCAUUCCAAAAAGAUGCAAAAGCAAAGUAUAAAGAUGCAUGGCCAUUGAAAGCUUCAGUUGUUAACUUCCGUGCUGAUCAUACAAGAAUUUAUGCUGGUGGAU
rnacentral:sRNA from 1 species